rnacentral:rRNA from 1 species
GACGAACGCUGGCGGCGUGCUUAACACAUGCAAGUCGAACGGAAAGGCCCUGCUUUUGUGGGGUGCUCGAGUGGCGAACGGGUGAGUAACACGUGAGUAACCUGCCCUUGACUUUGGGAUAACUUCAGGAAACUGGGGCUAAUACCGGAUAGGAGCUCCUGCUGCAUGGUGGGGGUUGGAAAGUUUCGGCGGUUGGGGAUUGACUCGCGGCUUAUCAGCUUGUUGGUGGGGUAGUGGCUUACCAAGGCUUUGACGGGUAGCCGGCCUGAGAGGGUGACCGGCCACAUUGCGACUGAGGUACGGCCCAGACUCCUACGGGAGGCAGCAGUGGGGAAUAUUGCACAAUGGGCGGAAGCCUGAUGCAGCAACGCCGCGUGCGGGAUGACGGCCUUCGGGUUGUAAACCGCUUUCGCCUGUGACGAAGCGUGAGUGACGGUAAUGGGUAAAGAAGCACCGGCUAACUACGUG